rnacentral:rRNA from 1 species
UACGGAGGAUGCGAGCGUUAUCCGGAUUUAUUGGGUUUAAAGGGUGCGUAGGCGGACGCUUAAGUCAGCGGUAAAAUUGCGGGGCCCAACCUCGUCAAGCCGUUGAAACUGGGUGUCUUGAGUGGGCGAGAAGUACGCGGAAUGCGUGGUGUAGCGGUGAAAUGCAUAGAUAUCACGCAGAACUCCGAUUGCGAAGGCAGCGUACCGGCGCCCAACUGACGCUGAAGCACGAAGGCGUGGGUAUCGAACAGG